rnacentral:rRNA from 1 species
AAUCAACGCUGGCGGCGUGCCUCAGACAUGCAAGUCGAACGCGAAAGGUUCCUUCGGGAGCCGAGUAGAGUGGCGCUCGGGUGAGUAACACGUAGGUAAUUUGCCUUUGGGUGGGGAAUAACAAUCGGAAACGGUUGCUAAUACCGCAUAAUGCAGCGGCUCGACAUCGAGACAGUUGUUAAAGCGGGGGAUCUUCGGGACCUCGCGCCUAAAGAGAAGCCUGCGGCGGAUUAGCAGUUGGUGAGGUAAUGGCUCACCAAGGCGACGAUCCGUAACCGGCCUGAGAGGGCGGACGGUCACACUGACACUUAAAUACGGGUCAGACUCCUACGGGAGGCAGCAGUCGGGAAUUUUGGGCAAUGGGCGAAAGCCUGACCCAGCAACGCCGCGUG